rnacentral:tRNA from 1 species
GGGCUCAUAGCUCAGCGGUUAGAGCUGCCGGCUCAUAACCGGUCGGUCCCUGGUUCGAAUCCAGGUGGGCCCA